rnacentral:rRNA from 1 species
CACCGCGGUUAUACGAGAGGUCCAAGUUGAUAAUAACCGGCGUAAAGAGUGGUUAGGGAAGACAUACUAAACUAAAGCCAAACACCUUCAGAACUGUUAUACGUACCCGAAGGCAUGAAGAACUACCACGAAAGUGGCUUUACUAACCCUGAACCCACGAAAGCUAUGUCA